UACGUAGGGUCCGAGCGUUGUCCGGAAUUACUGGGCGUAAAGAGCUCGUAGGUGGUUUGUCGCGUUGUUCGUGAAAACUCACAGCUUAACUGUGGGCGUGCGGGCGAUACGGGCAGACUAGAGUACUGCAGGGGAGACUGGAAUUCCUGGUGUAGCGGUGGAAUGCGCAGAUAUCAGGAGGAACACCGGUGGCGAAGGCGGGUCUCUGGGCCGAAAACUGACGC
rnacentral:rRNA from 1 species